rnacentral:rRNA from 1 species
CAAUAGCGUAUAUUAAAGUUGUUGCAGUUAAAAAGCUCGUAGUUGGAUUUCUGGUUGAAGCGACCGGUCGGGCGUUGAUUCGUCUGCACUGGAGUCGGUUUUGGCCAUCCUCUAGGAAAGUGCGUCUGGUAUUAAGUUAUCGGGCGUAUGAUCCUGGUCUUUUACUGUGAAAAAAUUAGAGUGUUUAAAGCAGGCCUUCGCCUUGAAUACAUUAUCAUGGAAUAAUAAGAUAGGACUUUGGUCUAUUUUGUUGGUUUGCAGACCGAAGUAAUGAUUAAUAGGGAUAGUUGGGGGUAUUUAUAUUCCGAUGUCAGAGGUGAAAUUCUUAGAUUUUCGGAAGAUAAACUUAUGCGAAAGCAUUUACCAAGGAUGUUUUCAUUAA